rnacentral:rRNA from 1 species
CUGCUUCUACUUUCUGUAUGGAGCUGGGAGCGUCUGCCUGUUGGACGCCCGAAGAGCGUCAGGUUUGAUCCUUGGUAUGCAGAUGAACAUGACGAAUUACGGCGCCCCACGUGGGCUUACAAGUGGGAUAUCGUUUCCGAGAUGACGAACGAUGUCAAUCUCAUGUACCAAAAGUACAUUGCCGAGUUGGACACGAUUACGCCUGAGCAGGUAAGGAGGUCGUUACUUUAG